rnacentral:rRNA from 1 species
ACUGCUCAGUAACACGUGGAUAACCUGCCCUUGGGUCCGGCAUAACCCCGGGAAACUGGGGAUAAUUCCGGAUAACGCACAUAUGCUGGAAUGCUUUAUGCGUAAAAUGGAUUCGUCUGCCCAAGGAUGGGUCUGCGGCCUAUCAGGUAGUAGUGGGUGUAAUGUACCUACUAGCCAACAACGGGUACGGGUUGUGAGAGCAAGAGCCCGGAGAUGGAUUCUGAGACAUGAAUCCAGGCCCUACGGGGCGCAGCAGGCGCGAAAACUUUACAAUGCGGGAAACCGUGAUAAGGGGACACCGAGUGCCAGCGUCAUACGCUGGCUGUCCGGGUGUGUAAAAUACACCUGUUAGCAAGGGCCGGGCAAGACCGGUGCCAGCCGCCGCGGUAACACCGGCGGCCCGAGUGGUGAUCGUGAUUAUUGGGUCYAAAGGGUCCGUAGCCGGUUUGGUCAGUCCUCCGGGAAAUCUGAUAGCUYAACUAUUAGGCUUUCGGGGGAUACUGCCAGACUUGGAACCGGGAGAGGUAAGAGGUACUACAGGGGUAGGAGUGAAAUCUUGUAAUCCCUGUGGGACCACCUGUGGCGAAGGCGUCUUACCAGAACGGGUUCGACGGUGAGGGACGAAAGCUGGGGGCACGAACCGGAUUAGAUACCCGGGUAGUCCCAGCCGUAAACGAUGCUCGCUAGGUGUCAGGCAUGGCGCGACCGUGUCUGGUGCCGCAGGGAAGCCGUGAAGCGAGCCACCUGGGAAGUACGGCCGCAAGGCUGAAACUUAAAGGAAUUGGCGGGGGAGCAC